ACAGAGUAGACAUGGCGGCUGGCGGGUGGCGGCGCAUUGGUGUUUUCGAAACUUUUAAAUCGCGUUUGUAAGUGAGUUUACGUUUGUAGUACGGUGCAGCAUCGUCACGGUCCAUUCAUGGUCCGGACCCUUUUGAAAUGAUGACACGGGACGCUGCCGAGAAAUGGGAAGAAUCGUGCAGAGUCAAAGAAGCUGCAUUCUUGGAAUCAUGAGCCGGACUGCUUCGUGUCAUGGACUUCCGCCGGAAAGCAUUGGGUGCUUGGCAUGCUGAGGAGAGUCCAGCAAGGGGAAAAGCAUGUGACGGCAGACUCACUCAAGCUGCUGUGGUCCAUCCAACGAGGUCUCUGAUCCCAGCGAAUUCGAGCCCUGGGCCUCUAAAAAUCUGUCUGCAAGUCCAGCCAUGCUUGCCAAGUCUUUCGUCGCUCUCUCCCGAAUGAACUAAGAGAACUUUGGUGGGCAGCUUUUAACAAACUCUUCCGUCAACAGAAGAUUGCACACGGACUCAUAGUCGUGCUUGUCUCCGACAGCUCCACCCAGCGGUUCAAGAGACUCGAGAGUUUCGUCGCAUACUAUUGUCCCCCCGAUUCGCCACUCGCCGGUUCGGCCCCCCGGAAUUUAUCUCGAAAUCCCUCCACUGUUAGUCGGAAUCGUUUCAUUAACGCCUUUUUCAUGCUAAUAUAUUCCCCUGACUUAGUUGCUGAAAGUCUGGCAACGACCGCCAGUGCCCCUCCCCUCAGGCAGGCAGUGAGCAACGUGCCCCUUUGGUUGCCGGCCAGCGCUGCCCAGCUCCCAAGCGUUUGAAUCUGCGAAGGUAUGCGUGAAUUUCAUAUUUUUUCUCGUCGAAAGGUGCCAUCCAGCGUUGUGGACUGGUCAUCAUUCCGCCGGCAGAGGGUUCAACAGCGUCGCUGGGAGGUUGGGGACGUGGUCACCCGACACCCUUGGUUGAAAGCGUACAGAAAGUGGCCUUUCCGCUAACGAGCCGGACCCCGACCGUUUCCCUUCGGCAUACACGCAUGGCGCGACCGAACACAAGCCCAACACAAACAAAACAAACCUUUGGUUCAGGGUGCGACGCCCAUGCAAAACAGCUUUAACGUAAACAAAACCAGGGUGCGGCAAGCUUCCCUUUGGUACAUUCGGCAUGGCCCAAUAAAAGAAUACACACACGGAAA